rnacentral:rRNA from 1 species
UACGAGAGGCCCAAUCGUUAUUCGGAAUUACUGGGCUUAAAGAGUUCGUAGGCGGCGCAGCAAGUAGGGUGUGAAAGCCCUCGGCUUAACCGAGGAAUUGCGCUCUAAACUACUGUGCUUGAGGAACCUAGAGGUGAGCAGAACUGAUGGUGGAGCGGUGAAAUGCGUUGAUAUCAUCAGGAAUACCGGAGGCGAAAGCGGCUCACUGGGGGUUUUCUGACGCUGAGGAGCGAAAGCCAGGGGAGCGAACGGG